rnacentral:rRNA from 1 species
GACGAACGCUGGCGGCGUGCUUAACACAUGCAAGUCGAACGGAAAGACCCUGCUUUUGUGGGGUGCUCGAGUGGCGAACGGGUGAGUAACACGUGAGUAACCUGCCCUUGACUUUGGGAUAACUUCAGGAAACUGGGGCUAAUACCGGAUAGGAGCUCCUGCUGCAUGGUGGGGGUUGGAAAGUUUCGGCGGUUGGGGAUGGACUCGCGGCUUAUCAGCUUGUUGGUGGGGUAGUGGCUUACCAAGGCUUUGACGGGUAGCCGGCCUGAGAGGGUGUCCGGCCACAUUGGGACUGAGAUACGGCCCAGACUCCUACGGGAGGCAGCAGUGGGGAAUAUUGCACAAUGGGCGGAAGCCUGAUGCAGCAACGCCGCGUGCGGGAUGACGGCCUUCGGGUUGUAAACCGCUUUCGCCUGUGACGAAGCGUGAGUGACGGUAAUGGGUAAAGAAGCACCGGCUAACUACGUG